rnacentral:rRNA from 1 species
GACGGUAAGACGUCGUGGAGGACCGAACCCACUUAGGUUGAAAACUGAGGGGAUGAGCUGUGGGUAGGGGUGAAAGGCCAAUCAAACUCCGUGAUAGCUGGUUCUCCCCGAAAUGCAUUUAGGUGCAGCGUCACGUGUUUCUUACCGGAGGUAGAGCUACUGGAUAGCUGAUGGGCCUCACCAGGUUACUGACGUUAGCCAAACUCCGAAUGCCGGUAAGUGAGAGCGUGGCAGUGAGACUGCGGGGGAUAAGCUCCGUAGUCGAGAGGGAAACAGCCCAGACCACCAUCUAAGGUCCCUAAGCGUGUGCUAAGUGGGAAAGGAUGUGGAGUUGCAUUGACAACCAGGAGGUUGGCUUAGAAGCAGCCACCCUUUAAAGAGUGCGUAAUAGCUCACUGGUCAAGUGAUUCCGCGCCGACAAUGUAGCGGGGCUCAAGCACACCACCGAAGCUGUGGCAUUGACACACUGCUCGGCCAGUUUUCCUGCGGGGUUCUGGUCCAGGCGUGUUGAUGGGUAGGGGAGCGUCGUGUGGCCAGGGAAGCGGCGGAGUGAUCCAGCCGUGGAGGCCACACGAGUGAGAAUGCAGGCAUGAGUAGCGAAUGACGGGCGAGAAACCCGUCCGCCGAAUAACCAAGGGUUCCAGGGUCAAGCUAAUCUGCCCUGGGUAAGUCGGGACCUAAGGCGAGGCCGACAGGCGUAGUCGAUGGACAUCCGGUUGAUAUUCCGGAACCGGCGAAGAACCGCCCAUGACGAACCUAGUGAUGCUAAACGCCCAAAGCUGUUGUCCAAGACCUUCGGGUUGAGGGUUUCAGUGGAGCGCGUGACCCGAUCUAGUAGUAGUCAAGCGAUGGAGAGACGCAGGAAGGUAGCCUCCGCGUGGCGAUGGUAGUCCACGUCCAAGGGUGUAGGGCGAGCUGUAGGCAAAUCCGCAGCUCACAUAGCCUGAGACCUGAUAGUGACCGCGUAUGCGGGAAGCAGGGUGAUCCUAUGCUGCCAAGAAAAUCUUCUAGCGAGGUUCGAGCCGCCCGUACCCCAAACCGACUCAGGUGGUUAGGUAGAGAAUACCAAGGCGAUCGAGUGAAUCGUGGUUAAGGAAUUCGGCAAAAUACCCCCGUAACUUCGGGAGAAGGGGGGCCCAGAGGGUGAAGGCACUUGCUGCCUAGCCUGAACGGCCGCAGAGACCAGGGAGAAGCGACUGUUUACUAAAAACACAGGUCCGUGCGAAGUCGCAAGACGAUGUAUACGGACUGACGCCUGCCCGGUGCUGGAAGGUUAAGAGGACCGGUUAGUUCUUCGGAGCGAAGCUGAGAAUUUAAGCCCCAGUAAACGGCGGUGGUAACUAUAACCAUCCUAAGGUAGCGAAAUUCCUUGUCGGGUAAGUUCCGACCUGCACGAAUGGCGUAACGACUUCUCCACUGUCUCAACCACGAACUCGGCGAAAUUGCACUACGAGUAAAGAUGCUCGUUACGCGCAGCAGGACGGAAAGACCCCGGGACCUUUACUACAGCUUGGUAUUGGUGUUCGGUACGGCUUGUGUAGGAUAGGUGGGAGACUGUGAAGCAUGCACGCCAGUGUGUGUGGAGUCAACGUUGAAAUACCACUCUGGUCGUUCUGGAUAUCUAACCUCGGUCCGUGAUCCGGAUCAGGGACAGUGCCUGGUGGGUAGUUUA